CGAACGUGGGUAACCUGCCCAUCAGAGGGGAGUAACAUUCGGAAACGGAUGCUAAAACCGCAUAGGUCUUCGAACCGCAUGGUUUGAAGAGGAAAAGAGGCGCAAGCUUCUGCUGAUGGAUGGACCGCGGUGCAUUAGCUAGUUGGUGAGGUAACGGCUCACCAAGGCCGUGAUGCAUAGCCGACCUGAGAGGGUGAUCGGCCACAUUGGGACUGAGACACGGCCCAA
rnacentral:rRNA from 1 species